rnacentral:misc_RNA from 1 species
AACUCUCAACCCCGCCAAGGCUUUAUUGACUUGGUUGCUUGGGCUUGGAUCAUGGUCUUAAGCUGGUGUUAAACUAGCUGGACUGAAAUACAACAAGCUGAAUCAAUAUAUAUGCGGCUUGACCUGUUGUUGUAAGCAAUUAUACAAUGGGGACGCAUAAGAAUUGAAGGAGCUUACCAAAUGCUUUCAUUAUUUUCGAAGUCUUCGGAUGAGAACUUAGUGCAU